rnacentral:rRNA from 1 species
GACGAACGCUGGCGGCGUGCCUAAUACAUGCAAGUAGAACGCUGAAGAGAGGAGCUUGCUCUUCUUGGAUGAGUUGCGAACGGGUGAGUAACGCGUAGGUAACCUGCCUUGUAGCGGGGGAUAACUAUUGGAAACGAUAGCUAAUACCGCAUAACAAUGGAUGACACAUGUCAUUUAUUUGAAAGGGGCAAUUGCUCCACUACAAGAUGGACCUGCGUUGUAUUAGCUAGUAGGUGAGGUAACGGCUCACCUAGGCGACGAUACAUAGCCGACCUGAGAGGGUGAUCGGCCACACUGGGACUGAGACACGGCCCAGACUCCUACGGGAGGCAGCAAUAGGGAAUCUUCGGCAAUGGGGGCAACCCUGACCGAGCAACGCCGCGUGAGUGAAGAAGGUUUUCGGAUCGUAAAGCUCUGUUGUAAGUCAAGAACGAGUGUGAGAGUGGAAAGUUCACACUGUGACGGUAGCUUACCAGAAAGGGACGGCUAACUACGUGCCAGCAGCCGCGGUAAUACGUAGGUCCCGAGCGUUGUCCGGAUUUAUUGGGCGUAAAGCGAGCGCAGGCGGUUUGAUAAGUCUGAAGUUAAAGGCUGUGGCUCAACCAUAGUUCGCUUUGGAAACUGUCAAACUUGAGUGCAGAAGGGGAGAGUGGAAUUCCAUGUGUAGCGGUGAAAUGCGUAGAUAUAUGGAGGAACACCGGUGGCGAAAGCGGCUCUCUGGUCUGUAACUGACGCUGAGGCUCGAAAGCGUGGGGAGCGAACAGGAUUAGAUACCCUGGUAGUCCACGCCGUAAACGAUGAGUGCUAGGUGUUGGAUCCUUUCCGGGAUUCAGUGCCGCAGCUAACGCAUUAAGCACUCCGCCUGGGGAGUACGACCGCAAGGUUGAAACUCAAAGGAAUUGACGGGGGCCCGCACAAGCGGUGGAGCAUGUGGUUUAAUUCGAAGCAACGCGAAGAACCUUACCAGGUCUUGACAUCCCGAUGCUAUUUCUAGAGAUAGAAAGUUACUUCGGUACAUCGGUGACAGGUGGUGCAUGGUUGUCGUCAGCUCGUGUCGUGAGAUGUUGGGUUAAGUCCCGCAACGAGCGCAACCCCUAUUGUUAGUUGCCAUCAUUCAGUUGGGCACUCUAGCGAGACUGCCGGUAAUAAACCGGAGGAAGGUGGGGAUGACGUCAAAUCAUCAUGCCCCUUAUGACCUGGGCUACACACGUGCUACAAUGGUUGGUACAACGAGUUGCGAGUCGGUGACGGCAAGCUAAUCUCUUAAAGCCAAUCUCAGUUCGGAUUGUAGGCUGCAACUCGCCUACAUGAAGUCGGAAUCGCUAGUAAUCGCGGAUCAGCACGCCGCGGUGAAUACGUUCCCGGGCCU